rnacentral:rRNA from 1 species
AUCGAACGCUGGCGGCAGGCCUAACACAUGCAAGUCGAACGAGUGGCGGACGGGUGAGUAAUGUCUGGGAAACUGCCUGCUGGAGGGGGAUAACUACUGGAAACGGUAGCUAAUACCGCUUACCAUCAGUUGUGCCCCGAUGGGAUUAGCUAGUUGGGUGGGUAACGGCGCACCAAGGCGACGAUCCCUAGCUGGUCUUCAGGGAUGACCAGCCACACUGGAACUGGUGCACGGUCCAGACUCCGACGGGAGGCAGCAGUGGGGAAUAUUGCACAAUGGGCGAAAGGCUGAUGCAGCCAGGCGGCGUGUAUGAAGAGGGACUGCGGGUUGUAAAGUACUUUCAUCGGGGAGGCGUUACCCGCAGAAGAAGCACCGGCUAACUCCGUGCCAGCCGCCGCAGUAAUAC